AUACCAAUCCUAGCACAUAUACUAAAAACUGGAAUGAUAGAGGAGAUUAGCAUGGCCCCUGUACAAAGGAUGCCAUGCAAAUUCAUGAAGCACUCCAUAUAAAA
ensembl:snRNA U6 U6 spliceosomal RNA